GAUGAACGCUAGCGGCAGGCUUAACACAUGCAAGUCGAGGGGCAGCAUGAGACGGAGAUUCGUCGAAGUCUUGAUGGCGACCGGCGCAAGGGUGCGUAACGCGUGAGCAACUUGCCCGUUUCUGGGGCAUAACCGGUGGAAACGCCGACUAAUUCCCCAUAGUAUUGAUUUCAGGCAUCUGUUGUCAAUUAAAGAAUUUCGGAAACGGAUAGGCUCGCGUGACAUUAGCUAGAUGGCGGGGUAACGGCCCACCAUGGCGACGAUGUCUAGGGGUUCUGAGAGGAAGGUCCCCCACACUGGAACUGAGACACGGUCCAGACUCCUACGGGAGGCAGCAGUGAGGAAUAUUGGUCAAUGGUCGAGAGACUGAACCAGCCAUGCCGCGUGAAGGUGACGGCCCUAUGGGUCUUAAACUUCUUUUGUAAGGGAGCAAUAAGUCUUACGUGUAGGAUGAUGAGAGUACCUUACGAAUAAGCAUCGGCUAACUCCGUGCCAGCCGCCGCGGUAACAC
rnacentral:rRNA from 1 species